rnacentral:lncRNA from 1 species
GGUUAUUGUAGUAGUAUAGAUUAUUUAAAUUCAAUUGUUGUGUUUGACUUACCCAUUCAGGUAGGCUCCAAGGUAAACAUCUCGUUUAGAACUCUGUAUCCAACUCUUGAUGUAACUUUCGGAUUCAAAUUGUGAUUGCCCAGAUCUCUGAAUGGACUGUGGCUCGAGGAAUCCAUACACAUCAGAAUUCCCCGCUCACACACUUGUCUCAGUCAGA